rnacentral:tRNA from 1 species
CUUUAAACUUAAUAUUUAUAGUGUUAUAAGUGUAAAUUAUAAUGUUUUUAAAAC